rnacentral:rRNA from 1 species
AACGUAGGAGACAAACGUUAUCCGGAGUUACUGGGCGUAAAGGGCGUGUAGGUGGUUGUGUAAGUCUGGCGUGAAAUUUUUCGGCUUAACCGGGAAAGGUCGUCGGAUACUGCAGAACUAGAGGACGGUAGAGGCGUGUGGAAUUCCGGGUGUAGUGGUGAAAUGCGUAGAGAUCCGGAGGAACACCAGUGGCGAAGGCGACACGCUGGGCCGUACCUGACACUGAUGCGCAACAGCAUGGGGAGCAAACAGG